rnacentral:rRNA from 1 species
AUUGAACGCUGGCGGCAGGCCUAACACAUGCAAGUCGAACGGCAGCACGGGUGCUUGCACCUGGUGGCGAGUGGCGAACGGGUGAGUAAUAUAUAGGAACAUGCCCAGUAAUGGGGGAUAACGACGAGAAAUCGUUGCUAAUAACGCAUACGACCUGAGGGGGAAAGCGGGGGAUAUUCGGACAUCGCGUUACUGGAGUGGCCGAUAUCUGAUUAGCUAGUUGGUGAGGGAAAGGCUCACCAAGGCGACGAUCAGUAGCUGGUCUGAGAGGAUGAUCAGCCACACUGGAACUGAGACACGGUCCAGACUCCUACGGGAGGCAGCAGUGGGGAAUUUUGGACAAUGGGCGAAAGCCUGAUCCAGCCAUUCCGCGUGAGUGAAGAAGGCCUUCGGGUUGUAAAGCUCUUUCGGCAGGAAAGAAAUCGUUACUCUUAAUACGAGUGAUGGAUGACGGUACCUGAAGAAGAAGCACCGGCUAACUACGUGCCAGCCGCCGCAGUAAUAC